rnacentral:rRNA from 1 species
UUAAACAUGAGAGUUUGAUCCUGGCUCAGGAUGAACGCUGGCGGCGUGCUUAACACAUGCAAGUCGAACGAAGCGCUUUACUUGAUCCCUUCGGGGUGAUUGUUUUG